rnacentral:rRNA from 1 species
AUUGAACGCUGGCGGCAGGCCUAACACAUGCAAGUCGAGCGGAUGAAGGAAGCUUGCUUCCCGAUUCAGCGGCGGACGGGUGAGUAAUGCCUAGGAAUCUGCCUAUUAGUGGGGGAUAACUCGGGGAAACUCGGGCUAAUACCGCAUACGUCCUACGGGAGAAAGUGGGGGAUCUUCGGACCUCACGCUAAUAGAUGAGCCUAGGUCGGAUUAGCUAGUUGGUGAGGUAACGGCUCACCAAGGCGACGAUCCGUAGCUGGUCUGAGAGGAUGAUCAGCCACACUGGAACUGAGACACGGUCCAGACUCCUACGGGAGGCAGCAGUGGGGAAUUUUGGACAAUGGGGGCAACCCUGAUCCAGCCAUGCCGCGUGAGUGAAGAAGGCCUUCGGGUUGUAAAGCUCUUUCGGCCGGGAAGAAAUCGCACGGGUUAAUACCCCGUGUGGAUGACGGUACCGGAAUAAGAAGCACCGGCUAACUACGUGCCAGCCGCCGCGGUAA